GGAGAGGUGUCCGAGUGGCUGAAGGAGCACGCUUGGAAAGCGUGUGUAGUGCAUGCUACCGCGGGUUCGAAUCCCGCCCUCUCCG
rnacentral:tRNA from 1 species